rnacentral:rRNA from 1 species
CCUACGGGGGGCAGCAGUCGAGAGGCUUCGGCAAUGGGGGAAACCCUGACCGAGCGACGCCGCGUGGACGAAGAAGUUUUUCGGAAUGUAAAGUCCUGUCAUACGGGAUGAAAAGCCGAUUGGUUAAUAGCCUUUUGGUCUGACAGUACCGUAAGAGGAAGCUCCGGCUAACUCCGUGCCAGCAGCCGCGGU